GAUGCUGUGAUGAGAUGAGCACCAUAUGGUGUUUUAGGGCAGUGGAAGUAUCCGUGAGCCCAUUUAUCUAAUGACUUCUCCUUCCACUGAGCAUC